ensembl:lncRNA
GAGGGGUUUCCAGAAAACCCCUCUACGAUAGAGAGAAAGUGAGACAGGGGGAGCAAGAAGCGAAUAAAACAUGCAUUUUGAAGCAGGUUACCACUGUGGGCUCUGAUCCUCCAGGGAACCUGCCUGCAGUUACCCGACCUGAGGGGCGAGGAAGCUGAACUUUAUCCACCAGCCCAUCUGUUAUCAGUUGAGAGCUCCUUCUGGGAGCAGUAACUCUUUAUCUUUUUUACAUUUGACCACCCGCCUAAGGCCGCCUACCACAGCCAUCACUGCCAUGAGCGCUUAGGGCACUGAACUGGCCCUCUUUGAUUGUUGGUGGUAUCUUUGAUUCCAGCCUCCUUUCCCUGUUCUCAUCUGACUCGGUGGGUCCGCUGACAACACGGGUUAUGUUAUUAACAAAAUUAGAGCUUUGUUCCUUUCAUCUGAGCAGCUCAAAGCAUUCCACUAAAACCACCUCGGUAAUUCUCAAAAUACCUUCAGGCAGCCAGGAGGCAGAAUGGUCUCAUCCACGGUGAAAGGGGAAGACAUUUAGGUCCCACGGCAUUCUAUGAUUUAUUUACCUUUGGGGCCAGGAUCAGUAUGCACCCAGUCUGGUCAAAAGGACACGGUCCUAGAAGGGGAAAUUUGAAAUCAUUAGGAAAGGAUUUCUUUUGACAGUUCUAGGAUGGCAGGAAGUACCUGCUAAAGCUCCCACACCAAACAGUUGUUCAGAAAAAUCAAACACCCUAAUUCCUUCCAAUCCAGAGUUUGCUCGCAUUUUUACACGCGCUCAGCACAUCUGGGAGCGACUUGUGUCAAAACGCGUAAAAUGUUUCAAGUACGGUAAUAAACUCAGCGCUACAAGAAAAAAUUGGAUGAGACAGAAAAAAAUUAAUCCAAAAUUUUCCCCAAGUGACUUUUUCUUGCCUUUUUUAACACUAAAAAUGCUACUUUUUAGUAUUUUUAUAAAAAAUAACACGUAUGCAUUGAAAAAAAUUAUAUUACAAGAAAGAAAAAUUAUAUUACAUGUAAAUAGGAAAAAUGUAAAAGUUGUUCAAAUUCCCAUCACCUUAAGAUAACAAUCAUUAACCUUUUGUUGACCAUCCUUGUAUAAUUCAUUUUAUACAUGUAUACACACACUCAAACAUCUAGAUCAUUUAACAAAAAUGGAAUCAUAUCAUGCAAGCUUUUUUAAGAUUGUUGAAUUUCCCCUUUCAUCCCCAAUCCCUACUUUUUCGCAGGUAACCAGUGUUAACAACUUAGUAUAUAUCCUUCUCCAGGCUCAAAUAAUUAUAGACACACAUGUAUACAGCCCGUAUUACAACAUUUCAUCAAUUGGUCUAAUAAUGCCGUUUAUGGUUGAUUUUUCCCAGUUCAGGAUCCAGCCCAGGAUCAUAAAUGAUGCUUAGUCAUCAGGUCUCUUGAGUUGCCUUCUAUGUGGAACAGUCCACAUUCUUUCUUUUAGUUUCUUGAUCUUGACCUUUUAGAAGCAUAUGGGCCAUUUAUUUUGUACGAUGUCUCUCAAUUUGGGUUUGUCUGGCGUUUCUUCACAAUCAAAUCCAGGAUAGAGCCCUCACCAGCUUUCAGCCAGGUGCACACGGGCAGCGUUGCUGAAUCUACAAGACACCUGCCUGGGUCGAAUCCACGGCUGCUGCUUCUCCGUUCCUCACACGGCUUUGAAGAAGCAAGUCUGUACCGCCUCCAGCUGCAGGUGCUGGAUCAAGCUGGAAUGUGCCUCAGGCCAAAACUGACACCCGAAUACGGAUACUUGUUAACUGAGAAGCAAAAAAAGUAGGCACUCCGAUUUCAAGAAGCAAAAAUUAUGAAGAGGUGCAAAGGCUCCAGGACUAUUUUGUUGAUCACUUGUAAAAUGUGCAACAGAACAGUAGACAGUAAAAUAAUGGUAAAAGGAGAAACUUCCUGUGAGUGAGGAGAAGCAAUGCUACCACUCCAAAGAUUAAACUGCAGGAAGACACAGGAGACUAGAGCUCUGAGUUCUGCAAGUCAGCUUCCAAUGGCAAGGGCGCCACCUUGGUUCUCGGAACAGCUACAUCUGGCCAGUCAACACCCGUUUGCGCCUCAAAGGAUAUGAGUAAAACAAAGGAACACUUCUCUCAGCUGAAAAUGCUGCUUACUCAGAAGGAAUUCCAAGAGAAUCCAAAGUGGAUGUCAGAAAUUUCUUGUCUCCUCUGUAAAGAAUGGAUUUCAAGAAAUGUCCAAUGCUAUUUCUGAACUAAAGCUAGUCAAUGAAACAACUUGUUUGACUUUUCUUUAUUCUCUGAGUGCAUGGAAACCAGAUCCAAGAACAAGCUUUUUUUGGGCAUCCUUGGCAUUUCUGGGAAAUAAAAACCUCAUUGGAAUGAAUAACUGAAACCUACCUACCUCGAAGGAAAUUGAGACCUUCAUGAGUGUGUCUGCUUAUGAAGAUUUCUUCUGGGAGUCAACAGCCUGAUCGCUACGUCAGAAAAACUCAUCAGGUCGAAAGGUCAAGGAUGCUGCUUUGUCCCGAUAUUGGUGAUGUUCGUUUGGAUCAUAAGGGUAAGAUGGUUCCCCCAGUUUUCCCAAUAUGAAGUUGUUAUUUUCUUUUGUAAUUAAUAAAUACAAAGACUA